rnacentral:rRNA from 2 species
CCUGACCUCGGAUCAGACGUGAAUACCCGCUGAACUUAAGCAUAUCACUAAGCGGAGGAAAAGAAACUAACCAGGA